UCCCUGGUGGCUCAGAGGGUAAAGCAUCUGCCUGCAAUGCAGGAGACCUGGGUUCGAUCCCUGGGUUGGGAAGAUCCCUUGGAGAAGGACAUGGCAACCCACUCCAGUAUUCUUGCCUGGAGAAUCCCAUGGACAGAGGAGCCUGGAUUUUAUCCACUAAUUCAGGAGCAUCGUGGGAGAAUGCAUGACCUGAGCAGUUUUGUGACAACCAUAUGCAUAAAGAUAACUGAUAGUUUGAGAACAUUUCAGCACUCCUUUGGGGAAAUAGUCAAGCCUGAAGUCCAUUAACAGCUAAAAAGGAGAAAGUAAAAGAUAAAAAGGUACCCCCUUACUCCAGGUUAUUUUGAAGCCAUCCUAGACACCGGAGCAUUUCAACUGGAAAAAGU
ensembl:lncRNA